rnacentral:rRNA from 1 species
GACGAACGCUGGCGGCGUGCUUAACACAUGCAAGUCGAACGGAAAGGCCCUGCUUUUUUGUGGUGCUCGCGUGGCGAACGGGUGAGUAACACGUGAGUAACCUGCCCUUGACUUUGGGAUAACUUCAGGAAACUGGGGCUAAUACCGGAUAGGAGCUCCUGCUGCAUGGUGGGCGUUGGAACGUUUAGGCGGUUGGGGAUGGACUCGCGGGUUAUCAGCUUGUUGGUUGGGUAGUGGCUUACCCAGGCUUUGACGGGUAGCCGGCCUGAGUGGGUGGCCGGCGACAUUAGGACUGAGAGACGGCCCAGACUGCAACGGGAGGCAGCAGGCGGGAAUAUGGCACAAUGGGCGGAAGCCUGAGACAGCAACGCCGCGUGCGGGAUGACGGCCUUCUGGUUGUAAACCGCAUUCGCCUGUGACGAAGCGGGAGUGACGGUAAUGAGUAAAGAAGCACCGGCUAACUACGUG